UGGGCGGUUAGCUCAGUUGGUUAGAGUACUUGCUCGACACGCAAGGGGUCACAGGUUCGAAUCCUGUACCGCCCAU
rnacentral:tRNA from 1 species